rnacentral:tRNA from 1 species
UCCCUGGUGGUCCAGUGGUUAAGACUCUGCACUUCCUCUGCAGAGGCCUGGGUUCAAUCCCUAGUCAGAGAA